AGCGAACGCUGGCGGCAGGCCUAACACAUGCAGGUCGAACGAAGUCUUCGGACUUAGUGGCGGACGGGUGAGUAACACGUGGGAACGUACCUUUUGGUUCGGAACAACUCAGGGAAACUUGAGCUAAUACCGGAUGAGCCCUUAGGGGGAAAGAUUUAUCGCCGAAAGAGCGGCCCGCGUUAGAUUAGCUAGUUGGUGAGGUAAAGGCUCACCAAGGCUACGAUCUAUAGCUGGUCUGAGAGGAUGAUCAGCCACCCUGGGACUGAGACACGGCCCAGACUCCGACGGGAGGCAGCAGUGGGGAAUCUUGAGCAAUGGGCGAAAGCCUGACGCAGCCAUGCCGCGUGAAUGAUGUAGGUCUUAGGAUUGUAAAAUUCUUUUACCAGGGACGAUAAUGACGGUACCUGGAGAAAAAGCCCCGGCUAACUUCGUGCCAGCCGCCGCGGUAAAAC
rnacentral:rRNA from 1 species